GGGCAUGUGGCUCAGGGGUAGAGUGCUCGCCUAGCAUGCAUGAGGCCCUGGGUUCCAUCCCCAGCCCUUCCU
rnacentral:tRNA from 1 species